UUGUACAAAGUCUUCAAAAUCCAGUGUACUUAGAGCACAUCUCAGUUCAAACUAGCCACAUUUCAAGUGCUCAGUAGCCACAUAUGGCUAGUGGUCACUGAAUUGAGCAGUACAGGACUUGAUAAUAAGGCGAGAGGAGAAAGUAACCAAACAAGAGAGAGUCAAAUUAAGUUCUUUUGGCUCAUUGGGCAAAUUGUAAAUGCUUCUCUGGGAUUAGCUGCCUUCAGUUUUUACAACACCAAAGCUGAGAAGUCUGGUUGCAAACAGUCUGAGUUGGGCUGCCCAAGAUUCUAGCCAGCCAAGAGUCAAUCAGUCGAUGAGCUUAGUUGCACAUGGGUGAAACUUGGCAAGAUUUAUCUUUGCCAUCCAAACACGUUUGCAGUCCACACCAGAUGAGAACAUAUAUGCUUUUUAUUAUUUAAUCAGCCAUCCUGAUCUUCAGUUAGGAUGACCAUAGAAUUUUUUGUCCAAACCGGCACACUUUUGAGAGAGAAAGAAGGCACUAUUAAUAAUGGUCCUGGGACAACAGGCAUAAUAUGAGACUGUUCCUGCUGGCAAAUCAGGACAUACGGUUACCCUACCUUUAGUCAAUGUUUCCAUCUCUCAAAAGAACUUGGGUUACUGCCAGUAGUCACAUGUAUCUCCAGGAUACAUGUAACUCCAAGUAAGAGGUGCCAGUUCCCACAGCAGCCUAUGCACAAAGCCCUAAAUUUAUCUUAUAGGAUUCAUCUCAAGAGCCUGCAUCAUACAGGGUCCUUUACUCCCAUGUCUAAUAACACUGCUUUGAUGCAAUUUGCAAGCUUCUUGUUUUGCAAUUUUCCACUCUGAGUCUUGUUUAAAUUAGGGGUUUAAUGAGAAAUUGCUGUUGUUAGUUAAAUGACACCUCUUUUUGGCAGGGUCUCCCAAGGAAACUAGAGGACCAGUAAACAAACUGUGCAUGAAGGUGGAUAGAAUAGCCCUAUUUUUUUUUUUUUGGGUCCUUUCUUUUCUGUCUUUCUUUCCUGUCUUUCUUUCAUUUUCUCUUAUAUAUGAAAAGAAGUACAGCAAUCAGCUGUGACAGCCGAGAGAAAUGUUUCAUGGGAAGUAACAGAUGGCUCAAAGCCACCUUCAUUUCUGAGGAGAGGGAGAGUGCCUGUGGGCCUGGAAAAUUGAAGGAUCUCAUCCAGGAUGCCACAUGAUAUUUAGUAGUUGUGUCUUCUUA
rnacentral:lncRNA from 1 species